AACAUUUCAGACAGUGUGACUGAAUGAGGAAUUCUAGAUAGUUCUGUGAAGACUGGGGGAAGAAGAAAAGAGGAUGCCAGUCCUUGUUCCUAGGCCAAGACCUGAGCCCUGUAAUAUUAAUAUUUGGAUCUAAAAUCAGCCUUCCAACAGCAACAUGAAGUUGGCAGCCUUCCUCCUCCUGUGAUCCUCAUCAUCUUCAGCCUAGAGGUACAAGAGCUUCAGGCUGCAGGAGACCGGCUUUUGGGUGUCUGACCCUUCUCAACACAGCAUCAGACAGCCACCUCUAUUGACUGAAGUUGACAAUGGAGAAUAAAACUCAUUACCCCUGCUGAAUCCAGGGGCCCCUUUUUACAGAUGAGAAAAGUUCCAGAAAGACCCAGAGACAUAAUCAGGUACCUGCGUCGAGCUCUGCACAGGUGACUGGGACUGCAACCCCGGAGACCACUGUGUCAGCAAUGGGUGUGGCCAUGAGUGUGUUGCAGGAUGAAGAGUUAUCUUAAGGAUCAUCUUUCCCUAAGAUCGUCAUCCCUUCCUGGAGUUCCUAUCUUCCAAGAUGUGACUGUCUGGAGUUCCUUGACUAGGAAGAUGGAUGAAAACAGCAAGCCUGUGGAUGGAGACUACAGGGGAUAUGGGAGGCAGGGAAGAGGGGUUGUUUCUUUUAAUAAAUCAUCAUUGUUAAAAGCA
rnacentral:lncRNA from 1 species